rnacentral:rRNA from 1 species
CCGUAGCGAACAGCUCAGUAACACGUGGCCAAGCUACCCUAUGGACGUGGACACCCUCGGGAAACUGAGGCUAAUCCGCGAUACGGCUCCCACGCUUGAAUGCGGGGAGCCGGAAACGCUCCGGCGCCAUAGGAUGCGGCUGCGGCCGAUUAGGUAGACGGUGGGGUAACGGCCCACCGUGCCGAUAAUCGGUACGGGAUGUGAGAGCAAAUAGCCCGGAGAUGGAAUCUGAGACAAGAUUCCAGGCCCUACGGGGCGCAGCAGGCGCGAAACCUUUACACUGCACGCCAGUGCGAUAAGGGGACCCCGAGUGCGAGGGCAUACAGUCCUCGCUUUUGUACACCGUAAGGAGGUGUACGAAUAAGGGCUGGGCAAGACCGGUGCCAGCCGCCGCGGUAAUACCGGCAGCCCGAGUGAUGGCCGCUGUUAUUGGGCCUAAAGCGUCCGUAGCCGGCCGAACAAGUCUGUCGGGAAAUCCAUCCGCCUAACGGAUGGGCGUCCGGCAGAAACUGUUCGGCUUGGGGCCGGAAGAUCCGAGGGGUACGUCCGGGGUAGGAGUGAAAUCCUGUAAUCCUGGACGGACCGCCGGUGGCGAAAGCGCCUCGGAA